UAUAAUGUUUUUCCCAAAUACAAAUUAAACUUUGUACGCUACUUUUAUAUAAUCUAAUUAAAAUAGUAAAAUAAAUUAAAAUAAAUUUUUUAUUUUUUUUAAAUUUAUUCUUUAAUAAAAGUUGCUUGAACAUCACAGUUAUAAAAGCUUACAGAUUAUACAUAUACAUAUACAUAUAAAACGAUCACGAAACGAGAAAAUCUAACUUGAAAAAAGACAACCUCAUUUCCUUCGUCCCUUAUUUCUUUCAUUCCCGAUGUAUACCUCGUUCUCGUUAUCGUCCGCUCGAUAUCGCGAAGGAGGGCAAAGUAUGUCGGAUUCCUCGCAUCGAUGCUCGAUAGAGCGAUGCGUGCGCGAUUGUACAGCAAGCGUGGCUCGCACAGAGAGCCGAGGAGCAAGCUUUCGGCCAUUUCCGCCGUGAGCUCGGUUCGGUUCGGCGCAACGCGUGUAAUCAAGUGGUAUAAAUAAUUCCGUGGCGCAGCCAUGAGCUGGCCACCCGAGCGAAGAGCUUAUUCCCCUGUUAUGACACGCCGGAAUCGGGACGCCUAGCCGCGCGCGCGACAACGGCCCAUCGUGCAACCCCUUCGCUAGAGAAAACACGCGACUAUAGCUCUUACGGAUUGGCUAAUCGCCAUUUGUUUCGAAACGGUGGGCCGAUUCUCGACUAACGCCCCGGAUCGCGAAGCGGUCAUUAGUGCAACGGAACCGGUGCGCCUGGGACAGGAAAACGCGGAAUGUCCGCGAGCCACAGCCGCUCGCGCUGGAUGCCCCUAUUAUCGGUCGUCCGACCGCUAGAAUGCCGUUAGACGAUAGUCAAUCUAUUGUUCUACGUGCGUGUAUGCGAUCUUGACGCUCCUCAGCCGGAGAGCGAAGCCAAUGGCCUAACUGUGAGUGAAUCAAUAACGACAGCACCGCUCUCCGGAUUUUUCUUUGAUUUUGUUUGCCGCGCAUUCUAUUUUGUAAAUUUCUCGACUCGAUAUAGAAUUUAAAAUUGAGAGGUUCCAGUCGAAGCAAAAUAACUAUACGUGAGAAUCGAAAUUGAUAUAGAUGUGACAUGUGCCCGUUCCUUACUGGACCUGGAAUUAUUUUUCAUAAUAGGAAAUUUAAUAAAAAAUAAUUUCUAAAAUAUAUUAAAUAAAAAAAGAACGAGUAAAAUGAGAUUUUAAAACCAUCGAAACUCGACAGAUAAAAA